CUUUGUCGAGUGAGCGGGAAAGGGUGAGUCAUCCAAUACCAUCUUUUGAAGGCGACAAAGGCUGAUAGAGUGAAAUGGACUCGCCGCAGAUUCCCUCGCAGUUAACAGAGGGUUCACGGGCACCAUCUUCUGGUGUCUCAGGCAUAUGACGCGUCAAUUAUCGUGACUCGUAGAACGAGGACAAGAGGCUACAAGAUGGAGGUUCCACGGGAUACGGGGGCAAGGGGAUUUCUAGAAACUGUUGAAGAGGGCCGAAGCGAUAAUCAAGAGUGCUCGGAGGGUGGACUCACGUGGUGUACGGUGCCGUCGGCGGUUCUGGCAUCUCGCUUGGUCGGCCCUAGGCCGUCUCGUAUGCAGGGAGACGCGCGUCCCGACGCAGGGGGGGACGCCUUUCGCCGCCUCUCGACGUCUCACCUCGCCACGGGUACCCACAAGCAAAUCCCUGAUAAUGGCCACGCGCCCUCGCCCUCCACCUCCACAAUAUAUUCCAAGGGAAGUCUGCGAAAUUCAGGAAACGAGCUUGCCAAUUUUGAUCCAGAUAGACAGCAACCUGCGCAACAAUUUCACGAAAACGCUGGCAAGGGCAUACGUGCUCGCGGUUAACAGAAAAUACGACGACUGUCAUGGCGUCCCUCGCCCACCCCGCAGGAACUUACGCGUUUGGUGCAUCAUUUAGUCGAUUAGUUUUUCAUCGAUUUCUAUAAAAAAAUCACCCAAUAAAUAAACUUGCCAUAACGAAAAACAAA